UAGAGUUUGAUCCUGGCUCAGAUUGAACGCUGGCGGCAGGCCUAACACAUGCAAGUCGAGCGGUAACAGAAAGAAAGCUUGCUUUCUUUGCUGACGAGCGGCGGACGGGUGAGUAAUGCCUAGGGAUCUGCCCAGUCGUGGGGGAUAACAGUUGGAAACGACUGCUAAUACCGCAUACGCCCUACGGGGGAAAGGAGGGGACCUUCGGGCCUUCCGCGAUUGGAUGAACCUAGGUGGGAUUAGCUAGUUGGUGAGGUAAUGGCUCACCAAGGCAACGAUCCCUAGCUGGUCUGAGAGGAUGAUCAGCCACACUGGAACUGAGACACGGUCCAGACUCCUACGGGAGGCAGCAGUGGGGAAUAUUGCACAAUGGGCGAAAGCCUGAUGCAGCCAUGCCGCGUGUGUGAAGAAGGCCUUCGGGUUGUAAAGCACUUUCAGCGAGGAGGAAAGGUUAAUAGUUAAUAACUGUUAGCUGUGACGUUACUCGCAGAAGAAGCACCGGCUAACUUCGUGCCAGCAGCCGCGGUAAUACGAGGGGUGCAAGCGUUAAUCGGAAUUACUGGGCGUAAAGCGUACGCAGGCGGUUUGUUAAGCGAGAUGUGAAAGCCCCGGGCUCAACCUGGGAACUGCAUUUCGAACUGGCAAACUAGAGUCCUGUAGAGGGGGGUAGAAUUUCA
rnacentral:rRNA from 1 species